CCAAAAAAUACUUGAUUUGUGCUUAUGAAGUGUAAAAAAAAAUGUGCUGUCUACCAGAAGUGAAAUUCCAGCAUGAACACAGUACUGCAUUUGUAUCGCGGUGGCAUCAAUCCAGCUCCAAAUAAAGACGGACUGUCAGCUUCACGAAAACAGAACUGUGUUAUCAUUGGACCGGAGGUGGGUGAAAGGGGGUGCCUUAUGGAGAAUGGAUUUGAAGACAAGGCGAAUGGAGAGCAGGCCUCAUCUACGUGACUGAUGUGACUGUGGAAGUGCAAGCAAGACAAGAUGAGAGGAGAGAGGAUGAAGAGUAGCGCGGAGGAGCGAAAGGCGGAUGCUGGAAAAGCGAAGCGGACAAUCAUGAGCGAUGCAACAAAGGGAAUAUUUUCGCUAGCGACUGACAAGGUAAAAAAAAAUACACAUGUUGGCUGC